rnacentral:rRNA from 1 species
UGAAGAAUUUAUCCAACGGCGGGGGAUAGCCGGCCCAACGGCCGGGUAAUACCGCGUACGACCCUCGGGGGGAAUCCCCUGAAGGUGAAAGCCGCAAGGCGCCGAUGGAGAACUUCGCGGCCUAUCAGCUGGUUGGUGAGGUCAUGGCUCACCAAGGCGACGACGGGUAGCUGGUCCGAGAGGAUGACCAGCCACAUUGGGACUGAGACACGGCCCAGACUCCUACGGGAGGCAG